GUUUUGUGUUUUACCUGACAGAACUGUGCACUUUCGUUUCCAUUGUUUAUUAUUUUGUUUAAGUGUCCUGAGAAAAAAUAAAUAUCAAGAUGAACACUUCCCACGCUUGGUCCCCUCAUUGCGACGGUCAUUAAACACAGUUAUUCCAGCUAUCCAUAAUGAACACAGUUAUUCCAGUUAUACAUAAUGAACACAGUUAUUCCAGUUAUGUAUAAUGGACACAGUUAUUACAGUUAUGCACAAUGAACACGGUUAUUCCAGUUAUCCAUAAUGAACACAGUUAUUCCAGUUAUACAUAAUGAGCACAGUUAUUCCAGCUAUACAUAAUGACAUAUCAGCAAAAGCUAUUCUUGUCUUUCUUUUCUGUUAAAACAACAGCCUCUCUAGUUCUGGAUGUCGCUGUGUCUAAAAGACAGGAAGACACGCAGCAGCCAUAUGUUCAAAACAAUACCCACCAGACAACACACACACACACACACACACACACACACACACACACACACACACACACACACACACACUCUCCAGGCUCUUCCUGUCCUCGUCCAGUGUGGUGUUACAGGCAUGGUUUUUUUCUUCUCUAUUCUCUUCUCCUCUCUGUUCCUUCACUCUGCAGACGAGUGGAAAACAGCAAGGGUCUCUGAUAGACCAAGAGGCUGCUCACUGUCCCAGUGGGUGAUUGUUUCUGUGUGUGGGUGUGUGGAGGCUGGUGACUUGAGCAAUUGAGGAAGAUUGGAGAACCAAGAUUUAAAGGUAUGGAGACGAUAAAGCAUUUAAAAUUAUUUUAAUAUAAAAUGUUUAAAAAAUACAAAAUAUUAUGGGGAUUAGGAAUGAGAGGGCUACUUACACAGUGUCGGGAAGGGAUCACAGCAGUGAUUGAAUGAUUGUAUGAGGAAUUAGUUGAGGUUUUCAGAGGCUUGACUUCAGUGGAGGACAGGGGUUGAGGUGUUCAGAACCUUAACUUCAGUGGAGGACAGGGGUUGAGGUGUUCAGAAGCUUGACUUCAGUGGAGGAUAGGGGUUGAGGUGUUCAGAAGCUUGACUUCAGUGGAGGAUAGGGGUUGAGGUGUUCAGAAGCUUGACUUCAGUGGAGGACAGGGGUUGAGGUGUUCAGAAGCUUGACUUCAGUGGAGGAUAGGGGUUGAGGUGUUCAGAAGCUUGACUUCAGUGGAGGAUAGGGGUUGAGGUGUUCAGAGGCUUCAGUGCAUGGACAGGCUCCUCAUGGAUGAAUGGUGUUGGAGAAGAGAUCAACUCUUCCACAGGGUGCAGGACAGGAUUUGAAUUGUAAAACUAAAAACUAUAGAGCUAAGGAUUCAAAUCACACAGAUGUGUAAUAAUGUGAUUGUGUAUGUGAUUGACUCUACAUACAGUAAGGGAGAGACAGGGCUACUCACAGUGCUUGAAGGGGAAACAUUGAAUGCACCAGUGAAAGAGAGGGCACAUGAAACAUGGCUUCCAUUCAUGACAGGAGAGAGUUGACACUGGUAGUGGAGUGGAGUGGUCAUCGCCUCUCAAUC
rnacentral:lncRNA from 1 species